CUACGGGGUGCUGCAGUGAGGAAUAUUGCGCAAUGGGGGAAACCCUGACGCAACGACGCCGCGUGGAUGAUGAAGGCCUUCGGGUCGUAAAAUCCUGUCAGAAGGAAAGAAGUGUAUGGUAGCUAAUAUCUGCCAUACUUGACGGUACCUUCAAAGGAAGCACCGGCUAGCUCCGUGCCAGCAGCCGCGGUAAUACGGAGGGUGCAAGCGUUGUUCGGAAUUACUGGGCGUAAAGCGCGCGUAGGCGGUUUUAUAAGUCAGAUGUGAAAGUCCACGGCUCAACCAUGGAAGUGCAUUUGAAACUGUAAGACUUGAGUAUUGGAGGGGGUAGUGGAAUUCCCGGUGUAGAGGUGAAAUUCGUAGAUAUCGGGAGGAAUACCGGUGGCGAAGGCGACUAUCUGGCCAAAUACUGACGCUGAGGUGCGAAAGCGUGGGGAGCAAACAGGAUUAGAUACCCUAGUAGUC
rnacentral:rRNA from 1 species